UUCAACGGCUGCACCAGCCCACAGUGUACGAAUGUUCAGUGGACUCAAUGGAUGAAGCCCUGGAUGACGGACGCAAACGUCUGGGAAUGACAGCCGCUGUCACCAAGAGUGACAGCUUUCGCUCUCUGUCCCUCGACUAGCCCCAAAGUGACGCGUCCCUCGUUCUCCAUACAGUGACACGGAUCCAGUCAGAAUUAUGCCAGAGAUGGAGAAAGUGAGACCACCGGAAAAUAAACGCAGUAGGAAACCCGCACACCCCGUCAAGAGGGAGAUUAACCAAGAGAUGAAGACUUUCGCAGAGAGCACAAUGAACGAGCUUCUGGGCUGGUAUGGCUACGAUAAAGUCGAGCUCAGAGACUCCGAAGCCUCAGAGAUCCGCAGCUACCCCAACCGAGACAGACGGCAGCAUGUGUCGGUUCUAAAAGAAAACUCAGUGCCAAAACUGAAGAGUUUUAACAAUAAGACCAGUCCAUCGGCUCUGGCCAUGAGGAGCGGAGAGAGAGAGUCUCCCAGCGUCCCCUCCUCCUCCUCCCCCAGCUCCUCCAUGACCAGCCCCAAGGAGCACAAGAGUGCCCCUGUCAUCGUUCCACUCAUAAAACCCUCCGCAGUGGAUGAUGUGCAGAAUGUGCAGAUAGUGUGCGUGUGGUGUCAGAAAGAAGGUGUGAAACGCUACUCUCUGUGCAUGGGCUCGGAGCUGAAGAGUUUCUGCAGCGAGAAGUGCUUUGCAGCCUGCCGACGAGCCUACUUCAAACGCAACAAGGCCCGAGAUGAGGACCUGCAUGGGGAGAGGUCCCCACAACACCCCCCCCACCCCGAGGAUUCUCCAAGGCUGGUUCUGAAAAACAGCAGUGCCAGAUCUCUCUCUCCUGUACCUCAGGUGUGUGACUGGUGCAAGCAUGUCCGCCACACCAAGGAGUACCUGGACUUUGGUGCAGGACAGGAGAGACUCCAGUUCUGCAGCACCAAGUGUCUGAACCAGUACAAGAUGGACGUGUUUUACAGGGAGGCCCGAGCUGCUCUCACCAGCUCCAGCCCAGCCAGACCCCCCACAGAGGGGAAGCCCGAGGGAGGAGCCCAGCAACUCCUCACUCCUGAAUCCUGGAACAGUGGGGGAGGGGACACCCGCCAGAGGACCCUGUCCCCGAAAGGACCCACGCCCAUCCACGGGACGGCAGCGUCCGCAUCCAUGUCCCCCUCAGAGGCCUCCUCCUCCAAGGUCCCCCUCCCGGGACCCCGGCCCCCGGAGAGACCCCCACAGCCCCCGCCUCCACCCCCGGCCCCGGAGAUGAUGAGCCAGCCCGUGCACCCUCCUCGCCCCCACAUGGAGCACCACCCGGCUCAGCCUCUUCCCCAAAUACCCCUGUCCUUUAUCAGGCCCCCGCUUCAUGCACAGGGCCUCAAAAGCCCCAUCUCCAACCCCCCCAGACACUCAGGACCACCAUCCAGCCCCAUCCACCGUCCCCCACAUUCCCCCCACCUGCAGCCCCCCAUAGCCUCCUCCAUGAACCCCCCAAGUCUAGUGCACCCCUACCCUGGAGCAUACUUCCCUGGCCUGCAUUCGCCACCCAUCAACAUAAUACCCCAUGGCCAUGUACCCAUGCACCCCAUGAUGAACUUCAGCAUCCCCACCUUUGGCCCCCUCCUCCCCCAGCCCACUGUGCUGGUGCCCUACCCCAUCAUCGUCCCCCUCCCAGUCCCUAUCCCCAUCCCCAUCCCCAUCCCCAUCCCAGUUAGGUCCAAGGCCGGCCCGGAGGCCCCAGGCCACAACGGGGUCAUCCAGCCUGUACCGGAGGGGGCGGAGAGAGCCAGCUCCAUGGGUGUCCGGCAGCCCUAUCUGGGGAUACCUUCAGGAGAGAACAGACAGGUUUUCAACAGGGUGGGCCGAACCAACAACCAGAGGCUCCCUUCGCCUUCAGGCCUGCCCUGGUGGGACACAGACUGGGUAAAGUCUGAAAGGCAGCACCCUGCCUCUACAUGCACACCCCAUAGCAGAGAGUCUUCCCCUAGCACACGUUAUAACAUCUCCCCCUGCUCAGGCCCGGGGCCUGAAGGGAUGACAGACCUUCAGCCGGUUCAUCAGUCCCUGCAGCAGCCAGAGAGACAGGUUAUCCAGAGGGUGCUCCAGAGGACCCAGGUGAAGCAGGAGCCCAAUAUCCAGGGAGUGGUGGACUUAUCUGGACCAGGGGAGCCAAAAACUAGAAAGAGCACCAGGGCUGGGCUCUAUGACAGCACCAGAUCCCCCCAGUUCCCUUCACAUGACACACCCAACCAUCCAAACACGAAUAGCCCCCCUGGCCCCCACGGGGAGGGCUCUCCCUGUGAUGGAGACUCCCCCACCCCGUGUACCCUAAGCAGGCCUGACCCGGAGAUCUCACCCCCGGACCCUCCCAGCCUGGACACUCAUCCCCAGAGGGCAGUUUUGCCCACGGACCCUACCCUCAAUGAGCUAGAAGCAGUCAAAGAAAACAGCUUCUCUGGGACUGUGAGCCAGGUGCGGGCUGAAAGCACUGCUGGCUAUUCAGAGGAGAUUGUGGCCUGCAGAGAGGGAGAUGAUCCACAUGUCCCUGAUGAGGACCAUGCUUAUGCCUUGCCUACUGCACCCAGGACAGGGGACACCCCCACCACAUUGCUCCUUCCCAAGCUCAGGGAUAAGGGGGCCCUGAGGAACCUGGCUAGCGUGGCCAGCAUGGGGCCUGGGGACCUGGAGCCUGCCCUGAAGAGACGCUGCCUUCGCAUCCGAGAUCAGAACAAGUAGAGGAUGGAAAGCGAGAAGAGGGCUCCCACAAUACACUCGUGGCCACAAAACAGAAAGGCGCCAAAGACAGAGAAUCCAAGUAACUUGGCACUCCACUCAGCUCUAGGGUUACUACAGAGGAAGCGAGAGGAAAGGAAGAGAGGAGGAGAGCACAGACGGUGGGAGUCACUUUGAAAGGAGAUCACUACAACAAGGUCUGACUGUGACAGUGCUUUGUUUGGACGACGGCAGCCUGGUUCAUCCUCUGUCAGGGCAUGAAGGUUGAUUGAGCCCACUGUGCAAUGCUGGGUACAUGAAGUCCAAAGAAGGCAUACUAUUUCAAAGACUCAUUGUUUUACACUGUACAGUGGUGCCAGAUUCAGCUCCACUCCAUCUAGUGGCCAUCACCAGCACUAACCCAUUAGACAGCCUCCAGAGGGAUCUUGCUCUACCAUCCCUUUGACGACAAGGGUGCCAAUCCAGGAAGCACUUCCACCAGUCAGAUCAUCAAGAAACAACGACGUCUAGCACAAGUCAGAUGGAACCCAGACAAGCAUUUAUUCUAGGACCAAAACAUUAGUUGUCCUCUAUGUUCAUCACUGAUUGUGUAUGUCUCAGUAUCUCUGCCUUCCAGUCACUCUGAAUGUGUGUGCUUCUGUGAAUGCAUGUGAGAGAGAAAGAGAGAAAGCCAGUGUGUUGUGUGUGCAUAUGUGUGACUUUAUGUGGUUGUGUGUGUGUGUCUGCAUCUUUUUGUUUGUGUUUGGGUGACAAGACUUCCCAGAUGCGCUCCUCUGUCAAGCAGUAGCAACAGACAAGACUCUGAUCAACCUUGUGUGGUCUUCUCAGAUGGAGACUGAACAUGAUCUCUUUCCAGGGGAAACGGUUUGUUUUCUCUGCCUGGCUCACACAAAGAGCUACAUUGUUCCUCUCCACAUAUACAACGUUGACUCCCCACUCCAGGUUUUUGGUUGCCUGGCCAAUGGGGGUUCAGGCUUCAGGAGCUCUUUUUUAAGUUUUCUUUUGCAGAGGCCAGGAAUAUAUGUACUCCCUUGCCCCUGCUCCCCUCACAUAGACACACACUUUCUCCCCUCAUCUUUCUCCCAAUUCCUUCUCACCUUAUGCCCAUGCAAUGUCCAACUCCUUGUCCCUGCCCCCGUCCCCUCCCACACCCUUACCCUUUCAUGGUGAAGACAACAUCCAGGAUGCUCGGAUGUGGGGAGGAUUCACUUGGGGUAAACAGAGGUAAAAUUUAGUUGUGAAAAACGAUCAGUAAAAGAGAGACAGUGAGAAAGAGGAGGAGAAAGGGAGUGCAAGAGAGAUCCCUGUAACUCCCCAAACAUUCAUGCCAAAAGUGGGUGAACCUGUGACAGCAGGGAUGAGAGGUUGUAGUGAUUUCUGUGACACUGGCAGUCUGCCUUUGAACAAGAGGGAGCUCACCUUUCUUGCACCAAACCUUUCAUAGAGAAUAUGUAGCCAGUCCCCCACCAGAGUAUUUUCAACAACAGGGUAGUAAUUUUACCAUUCAUGGUAUUACUAUUAUUUUGAACCAUCAAAGGCCAUCAGUAUUACAGAUACCCUUAGCAUGGGGAUGUAUGACAAGAUUCCUUCUAGAGGCAUUUGCCAAGACAUGUUACAAAGCGCAAGAUUUAACUUCUGUUUUCUUACACAAAGAUACUACUUUGACAAUAUUAACUUAUGGACGAUGCCUCUGUAAGAUCUUUUACAAAGUGGUUGUUGUUUUAGGAUUAUAUUUCAUGAGUGCCGAAACUCAAAUUCCAGUCAAAUCAGUGUCGAAAUGUUUGCUUGUAUUACCAUGUACACCAGAGGGCAGUGUUUGCUUUAGUUUGGAGCACAGCACUUUGCCUGAAUGGAAAACUGUCUGAAAAACCAUGCAUACACGCCAAUGUAGACAUGUAUGCAUAUGCAAAAACGUUGCAUUCAGUGCCAACAUUUUUUUUUUUGACAGUUAGGUGAUAACGUUUUCUACACCUUGAUCCAACACCAAAAAUAUCAUCUGUUGCCAUUGUCUCGACAAAAUAAAACAUUGCUCCAACAUUACCGGAAAAUGCAUGUUCAUGUGUAUUCGGGGCUUCUCUUUGCCGAAAAGAGACCAUAUUGUUAUCCUCGGUGCUCAAGUCAUGAUCUAGAAUAUAUCCACUCACCUCAUAAAAAACGCAUUCCAAAAGCUCAGGCAAAAUGCAUGAAAUGCGACGGCGAAUUCAACACACUUCAUUAUAGCCCAGCUCAUUCCAGACAACAGUAUGGGGGAGUGACUGUUGUGACUUCCUCCAUACACGUAGGCUAGUGUGAGAAGGUGCGACGUUAACUUUGCCUCAUGUGGCCGAAAACUACACAAACUGCCAUUAUCAUGUUGCACAUCUCUAAUCGCCAUCGCCAUUAGCCUGCGUAUCCACUUUGUCCAACGUUACCAGUACCAUCUCUAAAGACUUGUUGAACAUUUAUCGUAGGCUAUUGUAUGAUCAUUUACAGAUUGUUUGUAUUUGAAUAAUAAUUCAAUAAUAAUUAAACUGGGAACCGUUUGUAAAGUAAAUAAAGGUUAUGAGCAACA